UAACUUCGGCGAGCACCGACUACGCACGCAUGAAGAGCGUCGCUUCAUCGACCGGCGAUCAUGUUGGCCUUUGCAUACCUGCUGAUAUGACUUUACCACUGUAAUGUCACCUUCCAUCCCAACAAAAGUUAUCUCUUCCGUCUGCAGACCUUACUUAUAACUAUUAAUGCAUAUCAAAGGGUUUAGAAUCCAGUCUACAAAGGAGUAAUUGAAAGAAUGCACCUUAUGCUUCAUCCAAAGCCAAGAUUUGAGUUGAGCCCUUUGUAGAAUCUCUUCUGCGUCAACUACACCUUGCUUGAAGACAAUUAAAUUUCUUUGAUCCCAGAUGCCUCUUAUAAUAUUAACC
rnacentral:lncRNA from 1 species